rfam:Lentinula edodes NBRC 111202 DNA, contig: scaffold51.
GCCUUCUUAGCUCAGUGGUAGAGCGUUGCACUUGUAUGAGCUCGCCGAGCUUUGACACUAAUGCAAAGGUCAGUCGUUCAAUCCGGCUAGGAGGCA